rnacentral:lncRNA from 1 species
UGAGACCCUUUAAUAUUGAAAACUCAGUAUUUUCAGAUUCCGUUGUGAUUAUUUUCUUAGGUGAUCUGAAAGGCCGCACAAUUUCCAGGACGAGAGCAAGAACAAGGGGAAGGAAAAGGAAGAGGAAAGGAGAGGGGAAGAAAAUGGUUAUUUUGCCGCACACAGUUGGAGCGCACCACACAGGCACAGGCCGGCCAGCUCGAUCUCAUCUCCACACAUGAGUUACCUCCAAUAAUAUAGUUUGUUCUUUUCCUUUUAAUGUUGAUUUUUCCCUAGACCCUAAUGGUGGUAGUGCUAUUGUUUUUGGUGCUGCUAUAACCUUUUAUUUUAUUAUAAUUAAG